AUUCACAUAUGGGUGAAUAUGAUUCACAUAUGCGUGAAUACAUUUCACAUGUGAAUCAUAUUCACCCAUAUGUGAAUCAUAUUCACCCAUAUGUGAAU
rnacentral:miRNA from 1 species